rnacentral:rRNA from 1 species
AGUGAACGCUGGCGGUAGGCCUAACACAUGCAAGUCGAACGGCAGCACAGUAAGAGCUUGCUCUUACGGGUGGCGAGUGGCGGACGGGUGAGGAAUACAUCGGAAUCUACUUUUUCGUGGGGGAUAACGUAGGGAAACUUACGCUAAUACCGCAUACGACCUACGGGUGAAAGCAGGGGAUCUUCGGACCUUGCGCGAUUGAAUGAGCCGAUGUCGGAUUAGCUAGUUGGCGGGGUAAAGGCCCACCAAGGCGACGAUCCGUAGCUGGUCUGAGAGGAUGAUCAGCCACACUGGAACUGAGACACGGUCCAGACUCCUACGGGAGGCAGCAGUGGGGAAUAUUGGACAAUGGGCGCAAGCCUGAUCCAGCCAUACCGCGUGGGUGAAGAAGGCCUUCGGGUCGUAAAGCCCUUUUGUUGGGAAAGAAAAGCAGCAGGUUAAUACCCCGCUGUUCUGGCGGUACCCAAAGAAUAAGCACCGGCUAACUUCGUG